UUUCCGUAGGUGAACCUGCGGAAGGAUCAUUCAUAAUAAGUGUUUUAUGGCACUUUUUUAAAUCCAUAUCCACCUUGUGUGCAAUGUCAGGGUUGAUUUUUCUCUCGAGAGGAUCAACCCCAAACACCAACUAUAUCUCAACUCUUUGUCUGAAAAAUAUUAUGAAUAAAACAAUUCAAAAUACAACUUUCAACAACGGAUCUCUUGGCUCUC
rnacentral:misc_RNA from 1 species